rnacentral:lncRNA from 1 species
UCACAUUUUGUUUGCUUUAUCUAAUUUGUAAACUGCUUUGUAUUUAAAUGAGAAGUUUGAUGAUCAGAUUGUCUACCAUCUUAUUGCAUUCCUAUCUUACAUACUUUCUUAUGUCUUUUUCUUUUUUUGACUUCAGAGCUUAACAAACUCACAUACAAAUAAAGUUUUGUUUAAACAUGAGUAAAGCUCAUUUAAGAAGGUAUAGUGUAGCGUAGUAUAGUAUAGUGUAGUGUAUAGCAGUAGUAGAUUUGUUGUAACAGAUACCUUGUGGCCCACAAAGACAGAACUAUUUGCUAUUUACCCUUUACAGAAAAAAAAUGCAAACCGGUUUUAAUGGAUUCAAGUAUUCUUUAUCUUUCUCCCUUUAGAGUUAAAGAUUGUAAUCUUGUUCCAAUAAUAGGUAACUUAGAUUAAAAAUCAUACUCUGAGUUAAAAUUAAUAUGCUUACUUUUAAAAGAGAAAAUGAAUUUGUUAAAUGUAUUUUUUGCAUGUGAGCUCAUGGUGUGUGUUUGUGUGUACUUUCUCUAUGUGUGCAUGGAUGUGUAUGUGGGUGCGUGUGCUUAUGUGUGCACUUCAUGACCUGCUAACAAAGGUCAGAGAAUAAGUAUAGGAGCUAGUUCUCUUCUUCCACCACGCAUAGUCUGAGUGUGAACUCAGCUGUCAAGCUCAGUGGUAGGUGCCUUUACCCAUAACAUUAUCCCUACCUUUUUUUUUCUUGGACAAAACAAUUAUUUCAGGAUCUUCCGGUCUUAAUCACCUUCCAUAACUUCUAGUGUUUUAGUUUUAUUUCACAUAAAUUUCUCUCUCCAGAAGCAAAUAGCCAAUGUGUAUUUGCCCAUCUAACACAUUCUUUGAUUUGUGCAGAUUUGUAUGUCCUACUCAUUCUUUUUAAGCUUAAUUGCUUAUUUCUAAUGCACAUCUCUGCGCAGGUCUUUCAAAGACCAUUUUGGGUGGUAUGCUAAUCAUCAUAUGUGGCAUAUGUGUAGAAACAGCUAGUCUGUGUUCCUCAGGCCAGCCUGGAAAUAGAAAUAGCAAUCCUCUUGCCUCACCCCUGGCUUCUCGACUUCUGUCAUAAGAGGCAGACUCUACUAAGUUGGGCUUAUCUCUCUUCCUGAAUUAUAAUUUAGCAGACACUUUUCUUCAAUAUUUUUCUAUUAUUUUUGGGGUUCUUUUCCUUGUGAGAGUUCUGCACUUUUCAAAAUGAGUGCACAAAGAUUGAAUUGCCUUUUAAGUAACUAGCAAAAGGCAUUGUUUUACUGAUUUGUUCCAGAGACUCCAAAGUACAGAUUUUGAGCAUAACUUCCUGUACUUUAGAAGCAUGUGAUGCUAGUCUGCAAACAUGAGCAAAUCUUAGAACGCUCCAUUAUUUAUUUAUUGCACAAUCACAGACUCACAUCCUGGUGAAUGUUAAUAUUUUCUGGGAGUAACAACAGACUAGGGAACAGAUAACAGCUAUAAAGGGCCCACAGAAACCCACAGAGCAGGAGCCUGACUUCUUUGCAACAGAACUGGUUGAGAUGAAGUGAAAUGCUCUCAGACAGCAACUGCACAAGCCCUCCCAGCUCUCUGCAGAAUUCUGUCUGGCAGAUUUCUGUGCUACACCCUGCUCAUAGUGGAUGCCUGACAACUAUUUAAGGUGACCAGACACAAUGACAGCACUACUAGAAGAAAUAGCUGCUGUAAACAGAACUUGCUCUGGAAAAGGACCAGAACUCUUUCAUCCUAAGAACUUCAGAUUGAAAAUCUCCAACAAGUUCCUGCAUUUUAGAGAAAGCUCAAUGAGCAAAGCUUUUGAAGGAUCUCAUUGUAUAGCUCUGGCUGGUCUAGGACUUGAAAUGUAGACCCGAUCGUCCUGGAACACACAGAGAUCUACCUGCCUCUGUCUCCUGAGUGCUGGGAUUAAAGGCAUGUGUCACCAUAUCUAGCUAAACAGGACAUCUUCAUUAAACAUCCCUACCACUACCAAGGCUCAGAGAACAUCUUGGAUGAAGAGGUCAUAAGGAUGUGAAAGCUGGAGGAUGAGAAAGGAUGCUGUGAUGUGAAGUCACCUGGUUGUGGUUCUUGCAUCCAUGAACUCACAGCAGCUGUGGCUACCUGAAUAAAACCUACACAAGAUCAAGCAAAACAACAACAACAAACAAACAAAAAACAAACAAACAAACAAACAAAAAGAACGGAAUAGGUGGGGUGUGUGUGGGUACUUAUGAGAUCUGCCUUAUCUACUUUUCAAUUGCUAUAAUAAAACACCAUGAUCAAGGCA